rnacentral:rRNA from 1 species
UGAAGCCGGAAUUGCUAGUAAUGGCAGGUCAGCAUACUGCCGUGAAUACGUUCCCGGGCCUUGUACACACCGCCCGUCACACCAUGAGAGUUGGGAAUACCCGAAGCCUGUGAGCCAACAAACGAGGCAGCAGUCGAAGGUAGAAUCAAUGAUUGGGGUGAAGUCGUAACAAGGUAUC